rnacentral:rRNA from 1 species
GCAGUUAAAAAGCUCGUAGUUGGAUCUCGGUGAUACUGAAGCCAACCGCUGCUUAGUUGGUUGAGUCUGGCUGCACCUAGCGUGUACGUCGGAUUUGCCGGCUGUGUUAGUGGUGUGGAAGCGGUGUUACCUUUCAGCCAUGUCUGUGGUGCAAUACCCACAGGUGUAAGCAAGUGUCAGGCGGUGCUGUGCUUUCGGUAUGGUCCGUCGGCUCGUUUGCAUGCCUGCGGAUGCCCUUCAAAAGGUGUCUGUUGGCGGAUGGCACGUUUACUUUGAACAAAUUUGAGUGCUCAAACCAGGCCAAUGUUGCCUGAAAAGUUUUGCAUGGAAUAAUGGAAUAGGACUUCGGUUCUAUUUUGUUGGUUUUCGGAUCCGAAGUAAUGAUCAAAAGAGACAGGCGGGGACGUUUGUAUGGUUGCGCUAGAGGUGAAAUUCAUGGACCGUAGCCAGACAAACUAAAGCGAAAGCAUUCGUCAAGCAUGUUUUCAUUGACCAUGAGCGAAAGUCAGAGGCUCGAAGACGAUCAGAUACCGUCCUAGUUCUGACCAUAAACGAUGCCAACUGACGAUCCGUGGUGGUAGUAAAUUAACCUUCCCCACGGGCAGUCACCGGGAAACCUUUAAGUCUUUGGGUUCCGGGGGAAGUAUGGUUGCAAAGCUGAAACUUAAAGGAAUUGACGGAAGGGCACCACCAGGAGUGGAGCCUGCGGCUUAAUUUGACUCAACACGGGAAAACUCACCCGGGCCGGACACUGUAAGGAUUGACAGAUUGAUAGCUCUUUCUUGAUUCGGUGGUUGGUGGUGCAUGGCCGUUCUUAGUUGGUGGAGCGAUUUGUCUGGUUAAUUCCGAUAACGAACGAGACUCUAGCCUGCUAAUUAGUGCACUUGUCCACUGUUCCUGUGUAAGUGGCGUUUCGGCGAUGUUGCCCAUGUUAUCUGCUGCAGUUGUUCGCCUGUGUCCUCGGAUGCGGGUGGCGGCUGUAGUGGUUUGGGCGGCGGGUUCGGCGUUUGCUUCCGGGUACGG